CGGACGCGUGGGCGUCGAGCGGGGGAGCGGCGCUGCCUGUGGAGAUCCGCGGAGGCCGACAGGAUUCGUUGGCUACCGUCCCCGCUGCCGUGCACUGG
rnacentral:misc_RNA from 1 species